rnacentral:lncRNA from 1 species
CUGGACCUCUCAAAAGUCUGGUUCUGGAGACCAGCAGCAUCAGCAGCAUCUGGAAACUUGAUACAAAUGCACAUUGCUGGGCAACAACCAGACCUACUUGAAUCAGAAAUAAUAGGCCCCCAAAUCUGUUUUAACAAGCUCUCCAGGUGGGAUGCAUAUUCUUCAUUCUGGGUGCUUGUUGCUUCUCAAUAACGGGAGAAAAGUGACAAUAAUUAUGGCCGUGGACAGAGAAGGGUGGCGCCUAUGGUGUACCACAGUUCCCAGGCUAGGGUUCAAAUUGGAGCUGCAGCUGCCAGCCUACACCACAGCCACAGACACAGCCACAGCCACACCAGAUCCAAGCCAUGUCUGUGACCUACACUGCAGUUUGCCAAUGCCAAAUCCUUAACCCACUGAGUGAGGAUCCACCCUGCAUCCUCAUGGAUACCAGUUGGGUUCUUAACCCGCUGUGCCACAAUGGAAACUCUGCAUUGCUCUUUUUAAUGCUCACAAGAAUCCUAUGAAGAAGGUAUGAUUAUUCCCAUUUUACAGAUGAGGAACUAAGACUUAGAGAAAAUAAGUAGUGUCUCCAAGGACAUACAAAUGAGAAGGGGUAGAGCUAGGAUUUGAACACAGGUCUCUUUGGCUCUAAUCCUAUUUCCUUAACGCUGAGGCUUUUCUUUUCUACCCAAAGUGUGGUCCUCAGAUCAGCAGCACUGGCAUCACCCGGGAGUCUGCCAUAAGUGUGGGAUCCUAAGCCCCACCCCAGACCUACUGAAUCAGAAGUGUAUUUUAACAAGAUACCCACAUGAUUCUUGUGCAUGUUAAAGUUUGAGAAGCACUGCUCUGCAACAAUACCAGCAACAUACAGAAUAAGCAGAGAAGGGAGCAAGAUUGUCUAGGCACAGCAAUUCUCAAGCAAGUUCCUUGGGAAAUCAGUUUGUUUUUUUUUUUCGUCUUUUUGUCUUUUUGCCUUUUCUAGGGCCACUCUCGAGACAUAUGGAGGUUCCCAGGCUAGGGGUCGAAUCGGAGCUGUAGCCGCCGGCCUACACCACAGCCACAGCAACGCGGGAUCCGAGCCGCGUCUGCGACCUACACCACAGCUCACGGCAACGCUGGGUCGUUAACCCACUGAGCAAGGGCAGGGACCGAACCCGCAACCUCAUGGUUCCUAGUCAGAUUCGUUAACCACUGCGCCACAACGGGAACUCGCGGGAAAUCAGUUUUGAGCUGGAAAAAGCUAUGUUCUGCUGCUCAACUUGAUAAAGAUAGUCUUUUCCCAAUUCAUAGAUAAAAUUAAGUUAAUGGAUUAUAUUUCCUCAUCUUCCAUAAUUUUUUCCUCUUGUCUUUGAGGUUAAAUAUCACUUGCUUGUUUGUAACUUUGUUUUUUAUUUAUUUAUUUAUUUAAUUUUCCCACUCUACAGCAAGGGGAUCAAGUUAUCCUUACAUGUGUACAUUACAAUUACAAUUUUUUUCCCCACCCUUUGUUCUGUUGCAA